rnacentral:rRNA from 1 species
GACGAACGCUGGCGGCGUGCUUAACACAUGCAAGUCGAACGAAGUGGCGAACGGGUGAGUAACGCGUAAUCAACCUGCCCUUCAGAGGGGGACAACAGUUGGAAACGACUGCUAAUACCCCAUACUGAGGGAGGGGAUUGCGUCUGAUUAGAUAGUGGGAGGGGUAACGGCCAACCAAGGCGAUGAUCAGUAGCCGGGCGGAGAGGAUGAACGGCCACAAUGGGAAUGAGACACGGCCCCGACUCCUACGGGAGGCAGCAGUGGGGAAUCUUCCGCAAUGGACGAAAGUCUGACGGAGGAACGCCGCGUGAGUGAUGACGGCCUUCUGGUUGUAAAGCUCUGUUAAUCGGGACGUGGUACCGGAAUAGAAAGCCACGGCUAACUACGUGCCAGCAGCCGCGGUAAUUC